UAUAUCUUUCAUUAUUUCGUUUAUGACGUCAUUAUGUGUCAUUGGCAGAAUCAAUUAUCAUUACGGACAUCGGAAAUGCUUGUCGGCAUUUUCUAUCCGUUUUUGUUUUUGUUCUUUCUCACUAAUUUCUAUCUUCAUUCAAACAACGUAAUUAACCCAGUUUUCAGCAAAUAUAUCUCACAGACUGUGUGGAUUCCGAAAUUCACUUUAGGGUUGAGUUCUUCUUGCUGGCAUCAUCGGCAGGUGUCUUCUAUAGUCCUACGUUGACCAGUGCUUUGCGAGUUCAUUUGGUAAACGGAAAAUGUGUGAAAGCCCGUCGUGUUUGUCCCUACCAAUUCUUGAUCACUGGUGUUCGUUUGUUUACGUCCUUCUAACGGAGCUGUUCUGCCCGAAUGACCGAUGGAAUAAGUACAAGACUUCAAAAGGGAUACAUAAUUAUUGGGAGUGAUUUGUUCAACUAAACUCUUCAUGGUGGUGCAGCAGCAUGGUUGCAGCCCGAUGACUGGAACAAGUAAUUGAUGAAAGAUUAAUUCAUGUUUUCUUUUAAUCUGUUCAUAUUUUUAUCUUUUGUCUCUUGUUUGUUGCAGUCGUUGAACUACUGCCAUGCUGGAGCACUGCCUUGAAACGUUUAAUAAAUUAUCAAACAUCACUGGAAGAAGUGUUUACCUCAGAUAUUUCAUCAUCAUUUAACGUCCAUUUUGCCAUGCUGGUUAAAGGUUGGGCAGUUUGACGCGAACACAAGUGCUCCAGAAGUUGUGCCAAGCUCCACUGCCUAUUAUGGCCCAGGCUAAUACCAAUCACCUCACAGUGCAGUGUCUACUGGAUGCUUUUUUGUAGCAUGAGCACUGCUGAAAACACAAAGGACCUGCAAGACCUUUCAACUUAGUGGGUUAGAUUACUGAGUGACAAAAAGUGAGACAGAAACAGGAGCAAGUGUUUGCUGUAAAGGUGAAUACAUGGCUUACUCAUGUAUAUUCAUGUAUAUAUCAUCAACAUUUAUUAUCUUUUUAAAGACUAAAUGUUUCAUAGAACAGACAUAAAUGUUCUUUAUACACAUUUAUGAAAGAAAAAAAAAAAAAAACUAUUUCUUCUGAACCAAGUUUAAUAGAGACAUUUCUUUUCUUUACUGCUUCAAGAUUUAUGUAAAGGUUUUAUAUUUCUAAAGGGUUCAGAGAAUCUUUGGAUAUUAUCAAAGAUUUCACCUGGUGGGAAAAUAGCAGAAUUUAUUGAGUAUGAAAUACAAGAACAGAAAAUUGCUGAAUAUUUUGAUGAGUAAAGAAAAAUGAAUUGUGUGAGAAGAAACUUAAAUGUAAAAA